CUUAACGGUAAAAGGGCCUUCGAUACGGGACGUCUUGAGUACAGGAGAGGCUGGUAGAAUUCGUGGUGUAGCGGUGAAAUGCAUAGAGAUCACGAAGAAUACCGGUGGCGAAGGCGGCCAGCCAGUCUGUUACUGACGCUGAGGCACGAGAGCGUGGGGAGCGAACAGGAUUAGAUACCCUGGUAGUCCACGCUGUAAACGAUGUAUGCCAGAUGUUGGCCUUUGGGCCAGUGUUGUAGUUAACGCGCUAAGCAUACCACCUGGGGAGUACGUUCGCAAGAAUGAAACUCAAAGGAAUUGACGGGGGCCCGCACAAGCGGUGGAGCAUGUGGCUUAAUUCGAUGCAACGCGAAGAACCUUACCCGGGCUAAAUCCGGUUUGCCGGCUCCCGAAAGGGAGUUUUCCCGCUUUGCGGGACAG
rnacentral:rRNA from 1 species